rnacentral:lncRNA from 1 species
CUCUACGGCGAGCUCGACGUGGGAUUCAUCACCACCGCCAACGUGCUCGUGGCGAAGACCAUCAAGCAGGGGGAGGUCUUCGUCUUCCCCCGGGGCCUCGUCCACUUCCAGAAGAACAACGGCCACGUCCCCGCCGCCGUCGUCGCCGCCUUCAACAGCCAGCUCCCCGGGACGCAGACCAUCGCCACCUCCCUCUUCGCCGCCACCCCGCCGGUCCCCGACAACGUCCUCUCCAAGGCCUUCCAGGUGGGCACCAAGGAGGUCCAGAAGAUCAAGUCCAGGCUCGCCCCGCCCAAGAAGUGAAUCAAAGUCAACGCCCCCCUCCCGGUUCGCCUUUGAUGGCAUCUGUCUGUGCAACGUUGCUUUGCUUCUUGGCAAAUAAUCCCUCCCCCCCUUGAGCGUUGUCCCCAAUUCUCUGCUGGGCUCUGACUUAUUCUGACGUUGACCCUUCACCUAAAUCUCUGGAGCGGGUACCGUAGAGAACCAGAUCCACCCACCACGGGAGCUGGUGGCGGCGUGGACUGUAAGCCAUCCCGUGGUGGCGGGGCGCCUUUGCUGCUUCUGCUGGAGCCAUUAUUCUCCCAUUUGUGCUGUGACUAUUUACCAGAAAUGGAAGUAACUUUAGUCAACAAAGAG